rnacentral:rRNA from 1 species
UACAGAGGUCCCAAGCGUUGUUCGGAUUCAUUGGGCGUAAAGGGUGCGUAGGCGGCGCGGUAAGUUGGGUGUGAAAUCUCCGGGCUUAACUCGGAAAGGUCAACUGAUACUGUGCGGCUAGAGUGCAGAAGGGGCAACUGGAAUUCUCGGUGUAGCGGUGAAAUGCGUAGAUAUCGAGAGGAACACCUGCGGCGAAGGCGGGUUGCUGGGCUGACACUGACGCUGAUGCGCGAAAGCCAGGGGAGCGAACGGG